ACUCAAAGGAAUAGACGGGGGCCCGCACAAGCGGUGGAGCAUGUGGUUUAAUUCGACGCAACGCGAAGAACCUUACCUACCCUUGACAUCCUCGGAACCUGCUAGAGAUAGCGGGGUGCCUUCGGGAGCCGAGAGACAGGUGCUGCAUGGCUGUCGUCAGCUCGUGUCGUGAGAUGUUGGGUUAAGUCCCGUAACGAGCGCAACCCCUGUCCUUAGUUGCCAACAGGUAAAGCUGGGAACUCUAAGGAGACUGCCGGUGACAAGCCGGAGGAAGGUGGGGAUGACGUCAAGUCCUCAUGGCCCUUACGGGUAGGGCUACACACGUGCUACAAUGGACGGUACAAAGGGAAGCGAAGCCGCGAGGUGUAGCGAAUCUUAUUAAAGCCGUUCGUAGUCCGGAUUGGAGUCUGCAACUCGACUCCAUGAAGUUGGAAUCGCUAGUAAUCGUGGAUCAGAACGCCACGGUGAAUACGUUCCCGGGCCUUGUACACACCGCCCGU
rnacentral:rRNA from 1 species